rnacentral:misc_RNA from 1 species
UUUCCGUAGGUGAACCUGCGGAAGGAUCAUUAACACGUAUCCACGUAUCAAACUAAUCGUUGAACUGUACGCCCUCCGAGCUAAAGGAAGUUCGAGUUUGGCGGGGAGGAUUCCGCAAGGAGUUCCUCUACGCUCGCUCUUCCGACUCGGUUGGUGACGCCAUGUUUUCUUUUUCACUUUUAACCCCAAUGAACAAUUGUUCUAAUCUUUAUACUUUUUCGUGCGUGUGUUAUCCUCGGAUGACCGCCUCGAAAAAAUUACUUACGAAACUCAAAACAACUCUUAGCAACGGAUAUCUUGGUUCCC